rnacentral:rRNA from 1 species
CGGGGUGAGUAACGCGUGGGUAACCUGCCUCAUACAGGGGGAUAACAGUUAGAAAUGACUGCUAAUACCGCAUAAGCGCACAGGGUCGCAUGACCUGGUGUGAAAAACUCCGGUGGUAUGAGAUGGACCCGCGUCUGAUUAGCUAGUUGGUGAGGUAACGGCCCACCAAGGCGACGAUCAGUAGCCGACCUGAGAGGGUGAUCGGCCACAUUGGGACUGAGACACGGCCCAA